rnacentral:rRNA from 1 species
AGAGCGAACGCUGGCGGCAGGCCUAAUACAUGCAAGUCGAACGGACCCUUCGGGGUUAGUGGCGGACGGGUGAGUAACACGUGGGAACGUGCCCUUUGGUUCGGAACAACUCAGGGAAACUUGAGCUAAUACCGAAUGUGCCCCCUCCUUUGAUUAGGGGGGUGGGAAAGAUUUAUCGCCAUUGGAGCGGCCCGCGUCUGAUUAGCUAGUUGGUGGGGUAAAGGCCCACCAAGGCUACGAUCAGUAGCUGGUCUGAGAGGAUGAUCAGCCACACUGGGACUGAGACACGGCCCAGACUCCUACGGGAGGCAGCAGUAGGGAAUCUUGCGCAAUGGGCGAAAGCCUGACGCAGCCAUGCCGCGUGAAUGAUGAAGGUCUUAGGAUUGUAAAUUCUUUCAGCGGGACGAUAAUGACGGUACCCGCAGAAGAACGCCCGGCUAACUCGCGCCAGCAGCCGC